AUUGAACGCUGGCGGCAGGCUUAACACAUGCAAGUCGAGCGAGCGGCGGACGGGUGAGUAAUGUCUGGGAAACUGCCUGAUGGAGGGGGAUAACUACUGGAAACGGUAGCUACUACCGCAUACCAUCAGAUGUGCCCAGAUGGGAUUAGCUAGUGGGGGGGGUAAUGGCUCACCUAGGCGACGAGCCCUAGCUGGUCUGAGAGGAUGACCAGCCACACUGGCGCUGUGCCACGGUCCAGACGCCUACGGGAGGCAGCAGUGGGGAAGCUUGCACAAUGGGCGCAAUCCUGAUGCAGCCAUGCCGCUUGUGUGAAGAAGGUCUUCGGGUUGUAAAGCACUUUCAGCGAGGAGGCGUUACUCGCAGAAGAAGCACCGGCUAACUCCGUGCCAGCAGCCGCGGUAAUAC
rnacentral:rRNA from 1 species